UACGUAGGGUGCGAGCGUUAAUCGGAAUUACUGGGCGUAAAGUGUGCGCAGGUGGCCGCGCAAGUCGAGUGUGAAAUCCCCGGGCUUAACUUGGGAAUUGCGCUCGAAACUACGUGGCUGGAGUGUGGCAGAGGGAGGUGGAAUUCCAGGUGUAGCGGUGAAAUGCGUAGAGAUCUGGAGGAACACCAAUGGCGAAGGCAGCCUCCUGGGCCAACACUGACACUCAUGCACGAAAGCGUGGGUAGCAAACAGG
rnacentral:misc_RNA from 1 species